AACGAACGCUGGCGGCAUGCCUAACACAUGCCAGUCGAACGAGACCUUCGGGUCUAGUGGCGCACGGGUGCGUAACGCGUGGGAACCUGCCCUUAGGUUCGGAAUAACUCCCCGAAAGGGGUGCUAAUACCGGAUAAUGUCUUCGGACCAAAGAUUUGUCGCCUUUGGAUGGGCCCGCGUUGGGUUAGCUAGUGGGUAGGGUAAAAGCCUACCAAGGCGACGAUCCAUAGCUGGUCUGAGAGGAUGAUCAGCCACACUGGGACUGAGACCCGGCCCAGACUCCUACGGGAGGCAGCAGAGAGGAAUAUAGGACAAUGGGCGAAAGCCUGAUCCAGCAAUGCCGCGUGAGUGAUGAAGGCCUUAGGGUUGGAAAGCUCUUUUACCCGGGAUGAUAAUGACAGUACCGGGAGAAUAAGCACCGGCUAACUCCGUG
rnacentral:rRNA from 1 species